GAUCAUGGCUCAGAACGAACGCUGGUGGCGUGUCUUAUACAUGCAAGUCGAGCGAGGCAGCAAUGCCGAGCGGCGAACGGGUGAGUAACGCGUAAGCAAUCUGCCCCAUAUCAGGAAAUACCCGUGCCAACGCGCGGUUAAUGUCCAGGAGAGUGGCCCUCUGCAUGGAGGGUUGACUAGAGAUUUAUCGGUAUGGGAUGAGCUUGCGUCCGAUUAGCUAGUUGGCGGAGCAACGGCCCACCAAGGCGACGAUCGGUAGCCGGCCUGAGAGGGUGGUCGGCCACAUUGGGACUGAGAUACGGCCCAGACUCCUACGGGAGGCAGCAGUAGGGAAUAUUGCACAAUGGGGGAAACCCUGAUGCAGCAACGCCACGUGUGGGAAGAAGCAUUUCGGUGUGUAAACCACUGUCAUGAGGGAAUAAGGCCCGCCUUCGGACGGGAUUGAAUGUACCUUGAGAGGAAGCACCGGCAAACUUCGUGCCAGCCGCCGC
rnacentral:rRNA from 1 species